rnacentral:rRNA from 1 species
UACGGAAGGCAGCAGUGGGGAAUAUUGCACAAUGGGCGCAAGCCUGAUGCAGCCAUGCCGCGUGUAUGAAGAAGGCCUUCGGGUUGUAAAGUACUUUCAGUCGUGAGGAAGGUGUUAAGGUUAAUAACCUUAGCAAUUGACGUUAGCGACAGAAGAAGCACCGGCUAACUCCGUGCCAGCAGCCGCGGUAAUACGGAGGGUGCGAGCGUUAAUCGGAAUUACUGGGCGUAAAGGGCACGCAGGCGGUUAAUUAAGUUGGAUGUGAAAUCCCCGGGCUUAACCUGGGAAUGGCAUUCAAGACUGGUUAGCUAGAGUCUUGUAGAGGGGGUAGAAUUCCAUGUGUAGCGGUGAAAUGCGUAGAGAUGUGGAGGAAUACCGGUGGCGAAGGCGGCCCCUGGACAAAGACUGACGCUCAUGUGCGAAAGCGUGGGGAGCAAACAGGGAUUAAGAU